GGUCUCACUGCAGCCACGAACCAUAACCCAGUAAAACCAAAAGAAGAAGCAAAAGCAAAGCAAAAACUGCUGAAACAAAGAAAAGGUUCUCUGAAGACGAUGGAUUAUAUCAAACUGAAAAAACUUGUUAUCACUGUUGGAGGUUUCAUAACAGUGAACAUAGCAAGUGCUGAUAUUCCAAUUCCUGGAUGGGUACAGUUAACAGGCUUAAUCAUUGUCGUCGGUACCAUCUUGUUGAAAAAAUAGCUUCUUUCAGUAGACCUCACUAAGAUUGGACUGAAUGCCAAGGUAUUCUGGACUCUUAAAGUGGAUACUAAGUGAGUGUGUGCUUCGCUGCUUUUGUAAAACUCAUACUGGGCGUUCUGUCUGUGAAGGAGAGCCAGGAAUCAGCUAAUCACCAUAGUAUGUUCGAGACACACACUCCACCCAAAUGUACCUCUAAAUUGAUUCUCUGUAAAGACUCAAUGAAAACUGACAAUUAACUAAAACACAUGAUGGAAAAUAUUGUCAGUUGAGCUGAAUUGUAACUGAACUUUUGUGCAAGUGCAAGUUAACACUCUUUAUCAGUUUGCUGAUGUUCUGGUUGGUGACCAUAUAUGGAUUUUGAGAUAUAGAUGCUUUAAGACGAAUGAUAUAAAAGUGUGGGGCCAAAGAGGUCGCAAGGCUUUGUCCUGCCUUUUUUGCAUUUUGGGAAUCUGUUCAAUAACUAGGUCAGAGGUAGAGGACAGCCACCUGCCUGUACCUCAUCAACACUGGCAGGGUGUAUCUGUUAUCUAAGGCAGAAACCAUUACAGAAGAAACUCGAAUGACCAGACACGUUCAGAAUAUGUAAAGCCAAAGAAUUCAUUAAUUCAAAGAGUUCAUUUAGCAACACUGUAAAAAAUUUGACAUUUUGUGUUCUAGAAAAAUAUCACAUAAUUAAUAAUAUAAUUUGCCUUUAAAACUUAAAAACUUGUUGUAUUACUACUUACAAUUUGAUUAAAUAUAGUAAUGAAUGCACCACA